UACGGGGGGGGCAAGCGUUGUUCGGAAUUACUGGGCGUAAAGGGCUCGUAGGUGGCCAACUAAGUCAGACGUGAAAUCCCCAGGCUCAACCUGGGAACUGCGUCUGAUACUGGAUGGCUUGAAUUCGGGAGAGGGAUGCAGAAUUCCAGGUGUAGCGGUGAAAUGCGUAGAUAUCUGGAGGAAUACCGGUGGCGAAGGCGGCAUCCUGGACCGAUAUUGACACUGAUGAGCGAAAGCUAGGGGAGCAAACGGG
rnacentral:rRNA from 1 species